UUAGGUUUUUUUACUGCAAAAGACCAAAUAAUAGAAACGGAUCGUUGAAAUCGUAGUUGACCGUUGUUGUAGUUGUCUCAUUUUUUAAUUCGCCAUCAGAGGACAGAGAUUUCUUGAGCUUUUCCUGUAUUGAUCACCUCAAAAUCGCCAAUCAAGAUGAAGCGUCUUUUGGUUCUGUAUCUCGUUGCAGCUAUUCUACUGGCUGAAUAUAUGGAUAACUAUGGAGUGGAUGCUCUGCGGAGCUGGGGUCGCCGCCGCCGUGGUUCUUUUAAAACUGCUCAUGAAGGCUAUGAGAAAAAUGAGAUCGGAGUUAGAGACGAACUUUACGAAUUGGACAAGACCGUGACUCAUCAGAAAGAUCGAUAAGAUGGAAAACUGCUUUUUGAACCUGAAAUGAUUGAACGCAAGAUAGAAUUGUAAUAUUAUCUCAAGGCACUCCAAAAAUGUCACUCUGAUACACUGCUGAAUUCAUCCUUAUAACAUCAAGAACCUUUUGGGGGAAAGCCCAUUCAAUUUUGCAUCAUUAUUAUGAAAAUUAUCAGGGGUCCGUUUUCAUUGGGAGUUUUGAUAGAAACCCGGCAAAAUUGUAAUAGAAGCCUUAUAAGAGAAUUUCUGUUAAAACGAAUGAGCAUGUUGAUCAAUUAAAUGUUUAAAGGGCAAGUUCAGCCUGGUUCAAAGUUGAUAAGGUUUGACGAGGGGGUCCAUAAUUACUACAAACACAGCUUCGCAGUGGAACUCUCCAUUUCCAACAUUGAUCGGUUAUUUUAAGCUACAUACAAUGGUUUUGAAUACAUAUUGUACGUAGAAAUUUGCUACACGAUUAUUGUUUAUAUCAAGAUUUAACUGUAUUUUUCGUAUUUUCUACGCGGUGAUAUAAAAUUGAACAAUAUAUACAGAUCAACACAUAUUUAGUUUCGUUUUCAUUUAUUUAUCUCUUAGCCUUUUUCAUAAACAGAUUAGCAAAGAAAAUACGACAAACAGAAUAUGUAACAAACAUUUAACAAGCAAAACAAUUUUUAAAAAGUUGUAUUUUCUAUGAGAUGUCUAUUGUUCAGGGCUGCAGGGGUUGCCAAUAUAAUCAUAUAGUUUGACUGCGUGACACAUUCGUGUGUCUAUCUGUAUUAAACACACAAGUAAAAUA